rnacentral:rRNA from 1 species
UACGGGGGAUGCAAGCGUUAUCCGGAUUUAUUGGGUUUAAAGGGUGCGUAGGCUGUCCGUUAAGUCAGCGGUAAAAUUUCGGGGCUCAACCCCGUCGUGCCGUUGAAACUGGCGUUCUUGAGUGAGCGAGAAGUAUGCGGAAUGCGUGGUGUAGCGGUGAAAUGCAUAGAUAUCACGCAGAACUCCGAUUGCGAAGGCAGCUUACCAGUCUGCGACUGACGCUCAGGCACGAAAGUGUGGGUAUCGAACAGG